rfam:Penicillium steckii strain IBT 24891 PENSTE_contig028, whole genome shotgun sequence.
GCAUCAAUGGGGUAGUGGUAACCUAGAUCCCUUCCAAGGAUUUGCCGGGGGUUCGAUUCCCUCUUGAUGCA